GCCACGGUGGUCUAGCGGUUGGAACGCUGGCCUUGUAAUCCUGGGGUCUCGGGUUCGAUUCCAGGCCGUGCCC
rfam:Zootermopsis nevadensis contig20965, whole genome shotgun sequence.